rnacentral:rRNA from 1 species
AUGAAACGUGAACCACUACUUUCACUACCGUCACCGUGUGCCACUACUUCCACGACGACCAUCCCGAGAACGUCUACUUCCUCUACACCACUCCGAACUCGAACCGCCCCGAAAAUGCACGCUUCAAAGCUUCAGUUUCGUUCCGGAGUUGUGAGGAUUUGUUCGACUACGUCCAUUUAUCUUCUUCUUGGACUCAUUCUUCUUCCUUGCGGGAUUUCAGUUGCAGGUGCCGAUGAUACUAGUGUAGGUGAUGCUACCGAACUCAAUUGGGAGUUCGACAAAGACCUUGGUCAUUACUAUGUUUCAUUUCCUGAUGAUCAGUAG